rnacentral:rRNA from 1 species
AUUCCUACGGGAGGCAGCAGUGGGGAAUAUUGCACAAUGCGCGCAAGCCUGAUGCAGCAACGCCGCGUGAGGGACGACGGCCUUCGGGUUGUAAACCUCUUUUAGCAGGGAAGAAGCGAAAGUGACGGUACCUGCAGAAAAAGCGCCGGCUAACUACGUGCCAGCAGCCGCGGUAAUAAU